AUUGAACGCUGGCGGCAGGCUUAACACAUGCAAGUCGAGCGGGGGAAGGUAGCUUGCUACCGGACCUAGCGGCGGACGGGUGAGUAAUGCUUAGGAAUCUGCCUAUUAGUGGGGGACAACAUCUCGAAAGGGAUGCUAAUACCGCAUACGUCCUACGGGAGAAAGCAGGGGAUCUUCGGACCUUGCGCUAAUAGAUGAGCCUAAGUCGGAUUAGCUAGUUGGUGGGGUAAAGGCCUACCAAGGCGACGAUCUGUAGCGGGUCUGAGAGGAUGAUCCGCCACACUGGGACUGCGACACGGCCCAGACUCCUACGGGAGGCAGCAGUGGGGGAUACUGGACAAUGGGGGGAACCCUGAUCCAGCCAUGCCGCGUGUGUGAAGAAGGCCUUAUGGUUGUAAAGCACUUUAAGCGAGGAGAGGCUACUCUAGUUAAUACCUAGGGAUAGUGGACGUUACUCGCAGAAUAAGCACCGGCUAACUCUGUGCCAGCCGCCGCCGUAA
rnacentral:rRNA from 1 species